GAUGAAGAACGUAGCGAAAUGCGAUAAGUAAUGUGAAUUGCAGAAUUCAGUGAAUCAUCGAAUCUUUGAACGCACAUUGCGCCCCUUGGUAUUCCGAGGGGCAUGCCUGUUCGAGCGUCAUAUUAACCACUCCCGCUUGCGGGGUCUUGGGCUUAGCCUCCGGGCGGGCCUUAAAAUCAGUGGCGGUGCCGUCGGGCUCUACGCGUAGUAAAUUUUCUCGCGAUAGGGUCCCGGUGGAUGCUUGCCAACAACCCCCAACUUCUUAAGGUUGACCUCGGAUCAGGUAGGGAUACCCGCUGAACUUAAGCAUAUCAAUAAGCGGAGGA
rnacentral:misc_RNA from 1 species